rnacentral:piRNA from 2 species
UAGCUUAUUAGACUGAUGUUGAC